GAGGAAUAUUGGUCAAUGGACGAGAGUCUGAACCAGCCAAGUAGCGUGAAGGAUGACUGCCCUAUGGGUUGUAAACUUCUUUUAUACGGGAAUAAAGUGAGGCACGUGUGCCUUUUUGUAUGUACCGUAUGAAUAAGGAUCGGCUAACUCCGUGCCAGCAGCCGCGGUAAUACGGAGGAUCCGAGCGUUAUCCGGAUUUAUUGGGUUUAAAGGGAGCGUAGGCGGACGCUUAAGUCAGUUGUGAAAGUUUGCGGCUCAACCGUAAAAUUGCAGUUGAUACUGGGUGUCUUGAGUACAGUAGAGGCAGGCGGAAUUCGUGGUGUAGCGGUGAAAUGCUUAGAUAUCACGAAGAACUCCGAUUGCGAAGGCAGCUUGCUGGACUGUAACUGACGCUGAUGCUCGAAAGUGUGGGUAUCAAAC
rnacentral:rRNA from 1 species